rnacentral:rRNA from 1 species
GAUGAACGCUGGCGGCGUGCCUAAUACAUGCAAGUCGAGCGAACAGAUGAGGAGCUUGCUCCUCUGACGUUAGCGGCGGACGGGUGAGUAACACGUGGAUAACCUACCUAUAAGACUGGGAUAACUUCGGGAAACCGGAGCUAAUACCGGAUAAUAUAUUGAACCGCAUGGUUCAAUAGUGAAAGACGGUUUUGCUGUCACUUAUAGAUGGAUCCGCGCCGCAUUAGCUAGUUGGUAAGGUAACGGCUUACCAAGGCAACGAUGCGUAGCCGACCUGAGAGGGUGAUCGGCCACACUGGAACUGAGACACGGUCCAGACUCCUACGGGAGGCAGCAGUAGGGAAUCUUCCGCAAUGGGCGAAAGCUUGACGGAGCAACGCCGCGUGAGUGAUGAAGGUCUUCGGAUCGUAAAACUCUGUUAUAGGGAAGAACAAAUGUGUAAGUAACUAUGCACGUCUUGACGGUACCUAAUCAGAAAGCCACGGCUAACUACGUG